UACGUAGGGGGCAAGCGUUGUCCGGAAUCAUUGGGCGUAAAGAGCGUGUAGGCGGUCCGGUAAGUCGGCUGUGAAAGUCCAGGGCUCAACCCUGGGAUGCCGGUCGAUACUGCCGGACUAGAGUUCGGAAGAGGCGAGUGGGAUUCCCGGUGUAGCGGUGAAAUGCGCAGAUAUCGGGAGGAACACCUAUGGCGAAGGCAGCUCGCUGGGACGUUACUGACGCUGAGACGCGAAAGCGUGGGGAGCAAACAGG
rnacentral:rRNA from 1 species